ensembl:lncRNA
GCUCUAGGAAGUAAGGUUGAGUAGGGAGAGAGCUCUAGGAGGUAAGGUUGAGUAGGGCGAGGGCUCUAGGAGGUAAGGUUGAGUAGGGAGAGAGCUCUAGGAAGUAAGUUUGAGUAGGGAGAGAGCUCUAGGAGGCAAGGUGGAGUAGGGAGAGAGCUCUAGGAGGUAAGGUUGAGUAGGGAGAUCGCUCUAGGGAGUAAGAUUGAUUAGGGAGAGAGCUCUAGGAAGUAAGGUUGAUUAGGGAGAGAGCUCUAGGAAGUAUGGUUGAGUAGGAGAAAAGAUCUGGAAAGUAAGGUUGAGUAGAGAGAGGGCCUUAGGAGGCAAGGAUGGGUAGGGGGAGGGCUCUAGGAAGCAAGGAUGAGUAGGCGGGGGGCUCUAGGAAGUAAGGAUGAGUAGGCUGAGGGCUCUAGGAAGUAAGCUUGAGUAGGAAGAGAUUUCUAGGACGUAAGGUUGAG